AACGAACGCUGGCGGCAUGCCUAACACAUGCGAGUCGAACGAGACCUUCGGGUCUAGUGGCGCACGGGUGCGUAACGCGUGGGAAUCUGCCCUUGGGUGCGGAAUAACAGAGAGAAAUUACUGCUAAUACCGGAUGAUGUCUUCGGACCAAAGAUUUAUCGCCCAGGGAUGAGCCCGCGUAGGAUUAGGUAGUUGGUGGGGUAAUGGCCUACCAAGCCGAAGAUCAUUAGCUGGGCUGAGAGGAUGAUCAGCCACACUGGGACUGAGACACGGCCCAGACUCCUACGGGAGGCAGCAGUGGGGAAUAUUGGACAAUGGGCGAAAGCCUGAUCCAGCAAUGCCGCGUGAGUGAUGAAGGCCUUAGGGUUGUAAAGCUCUUUUACCAGGGAUGAUAAUGACAGUACCUGGAGAAUAAGCUCCGGCUAACUCCGUGCCAGCAGCCGCAGUAAUAC
rnacentral:rRNA from 1 species